GUGGGGAAUAUUGGACAAUGGGCGAAAGCCUGAUCCAGCCAUGCCGCGUGGGUGAAGAAGGCCUUAGGGUUGUAAACCCCUUUCAGCGGGGAAGAUAAUGACGGUACCCGCAGAAGAAGUCCCGGCUAACUCCGUGCCAGCAGCCGCGGUAAUACGGAGGGGACUAGCGUUGUUCGGAAUUACUGGGCGUAAAGCGCACGUAGGCGGAUUUGUAAGUCAGGGGUGAAAUCCCGGGGCUCAACCUCGGAACUGCCUUUGAUACUGCAAAUCUCGAGUCCGGAAGAGGUGAGUGGAAUUCCUAGUGUAGAGGUGAAAUUCGUAGAUAUUAGGAAGAACACCAGUGGCGAAGGCGGCUCACUGGUCCGGUACUGACGCUGAGGUGCGAAAGCGUGGGGAGCAAACAGGAUUAGAAACCCGAGUAGUCC
rnacentral:rRNA from 1 species